rnacentral:rRNA from 1 species
CGGCGGCCCAAGUGGUGGCCGCUAUUAUUGGGCCUAAAGCGUCCGUAGCCGGGCCCGUAAGUCCCUGGCGAAAUCCCACGGCUCAACCGUGGGGCUUGCUGGGGAUACUGCGGGCCUUGGGACCGGGAGAGGCCGGGGGUACCCCUGGGGUAGGGGUGAAAUCCUAUAAUCCCAGGGGGACCGCCAGUGGCGAAGGCGCCCGGCUGGAACGGGUCCGACGGUGAGGGACGAAGGCCAGGGGAGCGAACCGGAUUAGAGACCCGAGUAGUCC